UCAUUGUGAGAUGAGGAUUUGGUCUCCUAUGUUCUGGUUGGUCUUGAUGCUUAGUAUAACCCGUUGGUCGCGUCCAUCAUGACUCGGCUAACUCGAUCGGCUUGUCCGAGUUCUAUGCACACCUUCUCACCUUUGAGA